GAGACGCGCGCGCACGGAGGAAGCGGCCAGCGCCCGAGCCAAUUUGCCAGCAGCUGUUGCUUUUUGAUUUUCCUCCUCUGGCGAGGAUAGGAAGCUGGCCAGACUUACACCGCGACAGGCUUGUAUCUUUUGGAAAUAGUAAACUCAGGGGAGGAAAGCAGAAAAAUAGGAGGAAACCACGGUGGAGUUUGGGGUGCUAGUGCCACAAAGCAACAGUAGCCCUGCUCUGGGAGAGUCACUUCUCCCUUCUAGGGGGUAAAGAAACACAUCUGCUUCCUGCGAUAGAUGUACCCCGGGGUUAAAAGAGGUCUCCAGUUGCUCCACUCAUUCAACACAGCCCUGUGAGGGACGACUCUUCUGUGACCCUGGGUCAAGCUUCGCAGAUCCAGAUGCAGAACUCUUAGCUACUUCUCCAGCACCAUGUCUGCCUCCACGUCACUAUACUUCCUGCAUGACGAUAAUGGACUAAACCUCUGAACUGUAAGCCAGCCCCAAUGAAAUGCUUUCCUUUAUAAGAGUUGCCGUGGUCACGAUGUCUCUUCACAGAAACAGAACAGUGACUAACACAGAGUUGGAGCCUAGCUGGAGGAAAUGAAUCUGGCUUUGGAUGGCUGUUGCCUGAGGCAGAGUUUGAGGAGCAGACAACACAGAGUUCUGACAGAGUGCUCUUUGCCUCCAGUCUACUGCCAAGAUGUAACUAGCCGCUCGGCCGUCUUGGUCCACUGUGCCUUCCCCAUCAGCAAUGACAGAAACUCCCCCAAAUCAUGAACCAGAACAAAGUCUUCCUCUCUCAUGCUGCCUUGGUGGGGUGUUUUACCACCAUGAGAAGAGAAACAACCAACAUAAUCAUGUACCACAGAGGAGAAGAUAGCCUGAGGUAAUCUCCCGGAAGCUUCUUCACAGAGUUUGUGGACCACAGAGAAGAGUUCACCAGAGGUCCAGAGGAGGAAGGGACAGAGUUGGUGACAUUUUAGUUGAGUUAAUUUUGUCAAGAGGGAAUGCUCAGUAGUUAUAAGCCACGGACAUUUCUGUAAGAUGAGAACUUGCAAGUUUCUACGGGAUAUGAUGACACAGGCUUUCAGCCCUGUGAUGGGGCCAUAGGCAGAUGACUGAUGGAUGAGGAUGAGGCUUGAGGACAUGUGACCCUCACAGUUCUGAACUUGCCAACUCCAUUAGCUGAAGAGUUAGAGGCCACUGGACAUGAUUCGAAGUUCUAGAGGAGAAUUCUUCCAUGGGCAGGCAACUAGCUCAUCAACAACAAAGGGAGAAAAUGAACUCAAAUCGGGGUUUUGUGGUUUUAGAGAAACGGCCAGCUGGAUACCCACCUGCCCUAGGUAAUAGUGUCCCCUCCUGAAAGAUCAGUCCCCUGGGUACUAAAGAACUAGGGGAAAUUUUACUCAGAGAAACGAUAAGUUUACUAGAAUUGAAGAUUUGCUCACACGCCCUCUCAAGUGAUGCAGUGACGGAGGAACUGCGUAAUCUCUUUGUGUCUCUUGCUUAUGUCUACCACUCCAUUUAAUUCUACAGCACACAGGAGGCACACACACACUCAACAUACGAGGAAACAGAGGGAUUGGCUUGCCCAGGAUCACACAGCUAAGUGAGUGGCAGAGCUGGAAUUUGCACCUUCACGUCCUCUGGGUCCAACACCACUCUACUACAACAGGGUAAUUAGAAGGAGCUCCUCAAAGCACAGACGUGACCACCUCUUCUAAGACUUGGGUAGAGAAGCCAUUGGUGGCAGCCACAUUCCUUGUCUUGCUAGAAGGAGCCGCGCUGGGGAGGCCCAAAGAUCAGGUUUGGCCCUCUCCUUUUUCGGGGGUCUUCUUUAGCAGUUUUCUUUCUGGGUGGCCCAGGACUGGACAUCUAGUAUAUGACCCUCCCAGUUGUCUGGACAGAUGUGCUGUAAGAUCGUGAUGUUGUUUACUUCGGUGCUGAGCCGCAGCUUUCUCAAAUGACAGGAAGUGAGGACCAGUGCAAAGCAGGUAGGGAAUGAAUGGCAUGUGCCUUUUAAAGCCAUUGACCCAGAUCAAGGAGCCAUGGAGGUGUCCUGAGUGACAGCCUUGUUGUGGAGUCCUGGGAACCAUCCGUUUGUAGGUGAGGGAGGGGCCUCCUCCAAGGUGCUGAAAACUGCCAAGUCUAAGCUUCUGGUCAUGUGACACUCCAAGGGUUGUUCCCAGCUGUCUCUGGGGAGUUGUUCCCCUCCUCCUAUCCUGGAAAGAUACACAGAACCAGUUGGCAGACUCUACUGAGGUGGCAAGUAGGAGGAGCUUCCCUGGCUCUGGGAAUCUGCCGUGUGCAGAGUGCAGGGAAACAGCUUUAACAACCACAGUCCAGACUCCAAGUCCAGCUCUGGAGCUUGAGUGCCCUGUGGUUUGGGAGGCACACUUGGCUCAGCCAAGCCUUUGUCUCCUUGUUUACGGAGAAGGAGAUAGCUUCCGUGUGUGCUCUGUGGAAUGGCAGGCGCGCAGGAAUAAUGGAGGCAGGUGAUCAGCGUGGCAUCUGCUGAAUUAUUGUCCCUCUCCUCCUCAUUGUCAUUGCCAGGAGCUCUCUCCACGUGCAUCUCCUCGUGUUCUCCCAAUUGCAUCAGAACAAGGGUGAGCAAUUAUGAGAAACAAUGGCCCCCGGGAAUCUAAUCAAACCCCAGAGGCAACCAGAUCUGCAGCCAAGCCGGAAGCUGGAAGUGGCUCUUCUCCACAGAGCUGUCACCUGCCCUGCUCCCAACAGCUCGCAAGGUUCUCAUUUGCAUCCCAGAGAAAUUCCCAUGGAAACUCAGCAGCUAACAGAGAUGCCAAAGGGUUUGAUUGCUAUGUGGAGAUGUUUGGGAUCUGAGAACCUGGGACAAUAUUCCAUGUUUGCCCCUUCCUGCCACUGCACACCUCCCCGGAGAUUCUGGACUAGUUUGGGAAGUUACCACCCCCUUUCUGUAAGAUUUUUAGCCUUUAUAGAUGUCCCAGGUUAAAGAAAUGUAUUUUCCAUAUCCUUUACAGAAUCUGAUUUUUUUUUAAACAUUCUGUUACCUUACCCUCUCCUACCUGCCAAUCAGCUUAUAAUUUGAAAAGUCUGACUGACCUACCUCGGAAAGAGCUGGUUAAGUGAAGAAAGGUGAACAGAAGUGGCCAAAGCCCUGCUACUCUGCCCCAGGUUUGGCUUCCAGAGUCAUAGCCAGCUUCUUCUGGUGGACAGAGGUACCUGGCUGUUGUCUCUAAUUCCUGGCCCCACAGCCUCUCAGGGACACCAUGUGCUAUCCCAUCUGAGCCAGCCAUUUAAGAAAUGGGUGUGUCGUCCACAUGUUUUCCUUCUGGCCACCAGCAGACAAUAUGGCUGUGACAGUCACACGAUGGAAAGUCACAGGUCCUGGAAACCCCAUGUGGAAGAAAGCCUCCAGCUACUGGAACACCCUCAAGGGACUGUUAAUGGAUGAGCCCUAGACUUUGAUUCAGUUAAGCCGUGGAAUAUAGAGGCACUAUUAGAAUCCUGAUACUGAGACGAGGAAUACAGUGGUCACCACCCCCACCACCUUCCUUAUGCCUUCGUGGGCAGACAAAGCAAGGAAAGAGCCAGAGGAGGGAUCGCCUGGGCACAAAUAAGAGAUACAAAGUAAAUAAGAAGUAUCACAGUCUGGGCACAUAUAGACUGGGAAAAAGCUGUCUGUGGCCACAGACAUGCGCAUGCGUGGCAGUGGUGCAAGACAAUCACUAGUGGAGUCGUAGUUGUUAAGGUUAAUGCAGUAAAUGCUAAAAAAAAAAAGUGAGGGAGCAGCACGGAAGGGUAAAUAUGACAGACGAGGCCAAAGGUCACCCACCCAGACCUGUUGUAAAGAAGUGGGUAUUGACUGGGGCUUAUGAACAUGCUUCUUACUGAG